AAAGACUUAUAUUUUGAAACGAAGGAAGUAUCCACCGUAUUCCAUAGUUGUGGGCCCGAUUAUUUCCUCUCAUGUGUGAUGAGAUGUGAUGUGACCCUCACCUUCCCAUUGUCCCUUCUCUCUUACUCUGCUUCUUUUAACAACACACAAGAAGCAGAGGAGAAGGAACUCCGCAUCAAUGGCGAAGAGGAGCAGGCGAAAGCCCAGCGGUGUCCAUGGAAUUCGGCCACAGCAGUGUCGAAACAAGUUGAAGAACAAGACAGAGAAUUUAUAAUGCUCACUGAUGUAUGGAGUACUACAUGUUUCCACAGAUUCUUUUUACAUUUUCUCAAAAGUUGCUUCGGUUUGUUUUUGGUCGUUCAAUCUGCAUAGAUAUGCAACGUUCAUAACAUGAUUUUUUUUAGACAAUCACCUCCUUAUAUAUUUUUAUGUUUCUGAACUGAAUUCCCGGUGCAGUUCGUACCAUUUAAACAUUGUUCCUUUUCUUAUACGAAAACCAAACUUUUACAUUUUCUCAAAUGUUGCUUUGGUUUGUUUUUGGUCGUUCAAUCUGCAUAAAUAUGCAACGUUUAUAUUUUUUAGACAAUCACCUCCUUAUAUAUUUUUAUGUUUCUGAACUGAAUUCCCGGUGCAGUUCGUACCAUUUAAACAUUGUUGCUUUUCUUAUACGAAAUCAAAACUGGGAAUCGAUUCAUGAUGAUAUAAAAGAAACCCAAAGCUGACUAUUUUUUGUUGUGACAUGCUAUUGUUGAAUAGUGCAGCCGAGUUCUUCUGCGCAUUCAAUAUAAAGGACCUUGACGUUAACGACAAACUUCAACUGAAAAUGAAAUUUGUUGACACCGUUCCUGAAUACAACGACGGCGAGAUGCAUCAAUCAUCUCCUGGAAAGAUAUCAUCCCCACUCUCGUACUGGAGAGCCGCAAAUAUAUUUGCAUUGUGGGUCUCCUGGAAAGAUAUCAUCCCCACUCUCGUACUGGAGAGCCGCAAAUAUAUAUGCAUUGUGGGUCUCCUGGAAAGAUAUGCAUUGUCCUCAC
rnacentral:lncRNA from 1 species